AGAGGCUCGAGGCGAGCAGGUACAGCAGCUUCAAGCAGCUGUGGCCCCGCUCGCAAGGGGACAGCGGUCACACCACCUCGUACAGGCAAGAAUAUCGCCCAUGGACUGGAGCAAAACCAUCCAAACCUAUAAAGACAAAGCAAGGCUUCAUUAUCCCAGAAGAACAUUUUGUUCAAGAGACAAGCUACAAGGCAGAUUUUAAGGCACCAUCGCGGAUCCUCAACGUGUGAACCUGGACCCCGUUUGCAUCCAGGCGGCUUCAAUGUGGGCUGUUAAUAUGUGUCACUAUGCAAUUUUCAUGAGGAGUGUUACUAUCAAAGAAAAAAUAUUACCAAAAGCAGCUCCAGUGAUUAAAGAUAUGUACACACACUUUCUGUUAACACACAGAUCGCUAAGUGCUUGAUUCAGAACUGGCAAAACACACUGCAAGGAGUGA